CUUUUUGCGGUCUGGGCUUUCUGGGUCUGUCCAACCCCGUAUCAGAAAGCCCUUACCCCAAAAAGCAU
rnacentral:pre_miRNA from 1 species